rnacentral:lncRNA from 7 species
AUGGGGGUCCCAAUAUGGGGGUCCCGAUAUGGGGGUCCCAAUAUGGGGUCUCAAUAUGGGGGUUCCAAUAUGGGGGCCCAAUAUGGGGGUUCCAGUGUUACCUAUGGGGGUGGGGGUUCCCAAUAUGGGGGUCCCGGUGUUAUCUAUGGGGGGGAGGGGGUCCGAUAUGGGGGUCCCAAUAUGGGGGUCCCAAUAUGGGGGUGCCAAUAUGGGGGUCCCGGUGUCACCUAUAGGGGGGGGUCCCAAUAUGGGGGUCCCAAUAUGGGGGUCCCGGUGUCACCUAUGGGGGGGGGGAGUGUUCAAUAUGGGGGACCCGGUGUCACCUAUGGGGGGAGGGUCCCAAUAUGGGGGUCCCAAUAUGGGGGUCCUGGUGUCACCUAUGGGGGUGGGGGUCCCAGUAUGGGAUUCCAGUGUUACCUAUGGGGGAGGGGGGGGGCAAUAUGGGGGUCCCGGUGUUAUCUAUGGGGGGGGUCCCAAUAUGGGGGUCCCGGUGUCACCUAUGGGGGUGGGGGACCCAAUAUGGGGGUGCCGAUAUGGGGGUCCCAAUAUGGGGGUGCCGAUAUGGGGGUGCCAAUAUUGGGGUCCCAAUAUGGGGGUCCCGGUGUCACCUAUGGGGGGGGGUCGCAAUAUGGGGGGGGGGCGAUAGGGGGGGCCCAAUAUGGGGGUCUCAAUAUGGGGGGUCCCGGUGUCACCUAUGGGGGGGGGGGUCCCAAUAUGGGGGUCCCGGUGUCACCUAUGGGGGGGGGGGUCCCGAUAUGGGGGUCCCAAUAUGUGGGGCCCAAUAAUGGGGGUCUCAAUAUGGGGGGUCCCGGUGUUAUCGAUGGGGGGGUGCCAAUAUGGGGGUCCCAAUAUGGGGGUCCCGGUGUCAUCUAUGGGGGGGGGUCCCAAUAUGGGGGUCUCAAUAUGGGGGUCUCAAUAUGGGGGUCCCGGUGUCACCUAUGGGGGGAAGGAGAUGGAACCGCCGUCGUCGUCUUCCGGGACCCCCACGUGGUGCCGCGGGUGCUGCGGAGAACCCAUCGGCUGCAGGACGUGGAGCUGCGCGUGGCGCCCUAUUACCCGGCCCUGGACCCAAACGGAACCGCUCCGGUACCGCACGGGGACACACGCACGGAGCCGGCACCGCCUGCUCACCGAUACCUUGGUACCGAACCGCGGGGUGUGGAUCCGGUACCGGGGGGUGAUAGAGAUAUGGGUCUGACACCGGGGGGUGUGGAUUUGGUACCGGGGGGUGUGGAUCCGGAACCGGGGGGUGAUAGAGAUAUGGAUCUGGCACCGGGGGGUGUGGAUUUGGUACCGGGAGGUAUGGAUUUGGUACUGGGUGGUGUGGAUCCGGUACCGGGGGGUGAUAGAGAUAUGGGUCAGGUACUGGGAGGUGUGGAUUUGGUACCGGGUGGUGUGGAUUUGGUACCGGGGGGUGAUAGAGAUAUGGAUCCGGUACCAGGGGGUGUGGAUCCGGUACCGGGGGGUGAUAGAGAUAUGGGUCUGACACCGGGGGGUGUGGAUUUGGUACCGGGUGGUAUGGAUUUGGUACCAGGGGGUGUGGAUCUGGAACCGGGGGGUGAUGGAGAUAUGGAUCCGGUACCGGGAGGUGUGGAUUUGGUACCGGGAGGUGUGGAUUUGGUACCGGGGGGUGUGGAUUUGGUACUGGGGGGUGAUAGAGAUAUGGGUCCGGUACCGGGGGGUGUGGAUUUGGUACCGGGGGGUGAUAGGGAUAUGGGUCUGGUACCAGGGGGUGUGGAUCCGGAACCGGGGGGUGAUAGAGAUAUGGAUCUGGCACCGGGGGGUGUGGAUUUGGUACUGGGGGGUGAUAGAGAUAUGGGUCAGGUACUGGGGGCUGUGGAUCCGGAACCGGGGGGUGAUAGAGAUAUGGGUCAGGUACCGGGGGGUGUGGAUUUGGUACUGGGGGGUGUGGAUCCGGUACCGGGGGGUGUGGAUUUGGCACUGGGAGGUGUGGAUUUGGUACUGGGAGGUGUGGAUCCGGUACCGGGGUGGUGAUAGAGGUAUGGAUCCGGUACCGGGGGGUGUGGAUUUGGUACCGGGGGGUGUGGAUUUGGUACCGUGGGGUGAUAGAGAUAUGGGUCUGGUACUGGGUGGUGUGGAUUUGGUACCGGGGGGUUGUGGAUUUGGUACUGGGAGGUGUGGAUUUGGUACCGGGGGGUGAUAGAGAUAUGGGUCUGGUACUGGGAGGUGUGGAUUUGGUACCGGGGGGUGUGGAUUUGGUACCGGGGGGUGAUAGAGAUAUGUGUCAGGUACUGGGGGCUGUGGAUCCGGAACCGGGGGGUGAUAGAGAUAUGGAUCCGGUACCGGGGGGUGUGGAUUUGGUACCGGGGGGUGUGGAUUUGGUACCGGGGGGGGUGAUAGAGAUAUGGAUCCGGUACCGGGUGGUGUGGAUCCGGUACCGGGGGUGAUAGAGAUAUGGGUCUGCCACCGGGGGGUGUGGAUUUGGUACCGGGGGGUGAUAGAGAUAUGGAUCCGGUACCGGGGGGUGUGGAUUUGGUACCGGGGGGUGAUAGGGAUAUGGGUCUGACACCGGGGGGUGUGGAUUUGGUACCGGGGGGUGUGGAUUUGGUACCGGGGGGUGAUAGAGAUAUGGGUCUGGUACCGGGGGGUGUGGAUUUGGUACUGGGAGGUGUGGAUUUGGUACCGGGGGUGAUAGAGAUAUGGGUCCGGUACCGGGGGGUGUGGAUUUGGUACCGGGGGGUGAUGGAGAUAUGGGUCUGACACCGGGGGGUGUGGAUUUGGUACUGGGGGGUGUGGAUCUGGUACCGGGAGGUGUGGAUUUGGUACUGGGGGGUGAUAGAGAUAUGGAUACGGUACCGGGGGGUGUGGAUCCGGAACCGGGGGGUGUGGAUUUGGUACCGGGUGGUAUGGAUUUGGUACCGGGGGGUGAUAGAGAUAUGGGUCAGGUACUCGGGGGUGUGGAUUUGGUACCGGGGGGUGAUAGAGAUAUGGAUCCGGCGCCGGGGGGUGUGGGUUUGGUACUGGGAGGUGUGGAUUUGGUACCGGGGGGUGAUAGAGAUAUGGGUCAGCUACUGGGGGGUGUGGAUUUGGUACCGGGGGGUGUGGAUUUGGUACCAGGGGGUGUGGAUCCGGAACUGGGG